AUGUAUAUAAUAUAUCUUUGUUUUUUUUAUAAUUUUAUAUAUUUUUAUUAUUGUGUUAUAAAAUGAGAAUUAAAGCAUAUUUUUCUCCUUUUUCUCUUUUUCCUCUUAUCCUUUACUUAUGCUCAUCUUUUUAUCUUCGUUUUUAUUUUUUUUUUUUUGUGUAAAAUAAUUUUAAAAAUUAUUACUCGCAAGUUAUAUACUUUUUUGCGUUCCUUAUCCUUAAAAUGUACUACAAAAAAUUGGUAUAAAUUUAUAAAACAAAUAAGCAGUAUUAAAGAAUAAAAAAAAAAAAAAAAGAAAAAAAAAGACACUUUUCAAAAGUGAUGAAAUAUUAAAAAUGUUUAUAUAUUAUUUUAUAUAGUCUACUAUUAUGGUUAUUAUAAUUAUUAUAUUGAUCAUUAUUAUUACGCUUAUCCACUAUUAUUAUUAUCUUUUUUUUUCGUUUGUAUUGGCUUGAAAAUAUUUUACUCAUCAUAUGUAUUACUUUGCAUGUAUUAUAAAUAUAUGCGCAUAAAAAAAGUAUAUACGCGUUUAUAUGCUUUUUUUUCGAAUCAUCAACGUACAAUUAGCUUCUUUAAACAGUCGUAUAUAUAAUUUGAUUUAUAUGCAGACUACUUACGAUAGUGAACAUGAAGAAGCAAAAUGUGUAAAAAAAAAUAAUUUUGGACAAUGUGUCCGUCGGUUGUAUUGCUUUUUUUCAAUAUUUAUUUUAAUAGGUGAUGCAGCCUGUUUUUUUUAAUAAUAUAUAUAUAUAUAUAUAUAUAUAUAUAUAUAUUCCUAAUGGCUUAAAAUUAAACAUAUAUGCGUGAAACUACUGUAAUUUUUGCAUUUUUUAGAAGCUUAUAGUUUCACUUUAAUUUUUUAAUAUAUAUAUAUAUGCAUACUUUUGCGUGUAUAGGUUUUUCAUAUGCCACUAACGGAUACAACGGAAUAUUUUAUUUUGCUUUAUCAUUUGCCCCCAGUUUGGCUUAUCUAUACAUAUUUAGGAAACAAAUAAAAAAAGAGAUCAAGCAUUCGUAUGUCAUUGAAAUGGUGUUAUAUGGAGCAGUAUUAUCAAUUUUUUCCGCGGGGAUAUUCGAAUAUCUUUUAUCAGAUGUUUGUUAUUAUUUUUGUAGUAUAUGUUUUAUAAAAGAAAUUGAAGAAUCAUAUUCGUUUAUUUGUUCUAUAUUUGCUUUUUUUUAUUUUUUUUUUGUGGUGGCGUAUGUUGAAGAAAUUUCAAAAAUUCUUCCAUUAAUUUUUGUUUAUGUACAAAGAAAUAAGCAAGAAUAUAUCGAAUUACCAAUAGUUGAAAAUGAUCAUUAUGUUAAUAAUAUUACAUAUGAAGAAGAUAUAAAUGAAAGCAGUAUAAAGAAAUUUAAAUACAUUACUGUAAAUGAUAAAUUAGAAUAUAUAUUUUUUUCUUUGUGUUCCUCUGCCGGGUUAUUCUUACAUUUAAAUAUAAGUCAUAAACAUAAUAGGUCUAUACAAACCUAUAUACAUAUGUGUAUGUGUAUUAGUAUAUUUACUAGUUUUUCACUCAUCACUUGUUUAUAUAUAUAUAUAUAUAUAUAUAUAUAUUAUAUCCUCAUAUUUAACAGGUUUUCGAGCACUGAAAAUUUAUUCUAUGUCACACAAAUGAAAAAACAAAAUUUUUUGUUGUCAUAAUAUUAAGGUAAAAAUAAUAACAUAAUGAUGUAUUGAAAAUUUUAUAUUUUUUUUUUUAUAUAUACCAACUACAUUAAUUACACGCACACAUGUACAUAGAUAUAUACACAUAUAUAUAAUUAUAUGUUGUUUACACAGAAACUUAGUAUGUGUAUUAUUUCACAUGUGUUGUACUGGAAUAUCAUCUUACAACAUAGUUAAUAAUAUAUGUCAUAAAAAUAAGAAACGUACGGAGACAAAAAAAAAAAAAACAAAAACAAUGCAUAUAUGUAGAGUCCCCACAUAUAUAUAUGUAUACACGAGCCCAAACAGUUUUGUAGUAAUUUUAUUUCAUUAUUAAUCACAAAUAAAAAAAAAAAUCUUUAUUAUUUAUUGUUUAUU
rnacentral:lncRNA from 1 species